rnacentral:lncRNA from 1 species
GCUCUCGUUUUGUCGAGUUUUCUCUCUAUCAUGGAUAGAGUUCUUCCUCUUCGUUCAACCUUGUUUCUUCAUCAGCUGAUUAUCUGGGUUUUAUCUCCGCCGCUAUUGCACUGCUAGUGGCAACUCGUCCUCUACUUCUAAUCUGUUUUCCAAUCCAUUCUCCAUGCAACUCACCCAUAUUUCACAUACCAGACUUCGCUCCUUUUCCCUCGUCCUUUCCGUGUUUCGCCUUUUCAUCAUCUGGGUUUUUUAUUCCUUUGCAUGUCCACCUUUGUAUGAUCUACGGCCUUCUCUUUUACGGCAACCUCCCUUUCCUUCGCCAUGGCUUGAUGAUUUGGUUUUUUCCCUUCCUGGGGUUUCAGUUCCAUCUGCAUGUUCCGGUUUUCUUACUCUUCCUCUGACUCCUAUCGGGUGACAUUCCUUCUUUACUAAUGGCUAGCGCCGAUGAUCUAGAAACAUCACGAAUUGCAGCACUAUGUCAAAAAUUGGGACGAUUAUGCUCAGAAAAAGAAAUUGAAGAAUGGCAUGUUCAACCCCCACCUGAAGCAGUUGAGGAAUGUAAGUUGACUUUAAUAGGUAAGAUUUCCUCGAAUCCUUCCUUUAAUUUCCAAGCUUUCCAAUCGGUUUUGAAGAGGGCAUGGAAGUCAGAGAAGGUUGAACUCCUGCAACGAGAAGAGGGUAUUUAUCUAGCCAAAUUCAGGUCUCAAGCGGAAAAACAAAGAGUUCUAGACACUGGACCUUGGCAAUUUUCGGGCCACCUCAUUAAUUUCAAACCUUGGGUCGCCGACACACCUCUGCACUGUUAUGACUUUUCUACCUGUGCGUUCUGGGUUCAGGUUAUUGGCCUACCUCUUGAAUGCUGUACCGAUGAUAUGAUUCGUAAAGCAGUAAGUACCGUUGGCCCUGUUUUGCAAAUAAAAUCUGAUUUUGUUCCUGGAUCCACCCUCCGAGCUGGUCGAGCACGGAUUGAACUGCCGUUAUCUGAACCUUUAAAGGUCGGUCGACUCAUUAAAUACAAUAACCACACUCUCUGGCUGGAUUUUAAGUACGAAAGAUUACCUCACUACUGUUACUCCUGUGGUCGAUUGGGUCAUUACACUGAUGCUUGUCCGUCUAUCCUUUUUGAGGAAACUAUGAUAACGGACUCGGAGAAAACACCUUAUGGUCCCUG